UACGGGGGGGGGUAAGCGUUGUUCGGAAUUACUGGGCGUAAAGGGCUCGUAGGCGGCCAACUAAGUCAUACGUGAAAUCCCUCAGCUUAACUGGGGAACUGCGUGUGAUACUGGAUGGCUUGGAUUUGGGAGAGGGAUGCGGAAUUCCAGGUGUAGCGGUGAUAUGCGUAGAUAUCCGGAGGAACACCGGUGGCGAAGGCGGCGUUCUGGACUGCUACUGACACUGAGGAACGAAAGCCAGGGGAGCAAACGGG
rnacentral:rRNA from 1 species